UACGGAGGGUGCAAGCGUUAAUCGGAAUUACUGGGCGUAAAGCGUGCGUAGGCUGUUGCUCAAGUCAAGGGUGAAAUCCCCGGGCUCACCCCGGGAACUGCCUUUGAAACUGGGUAACUGGAGUAUGUGAGAGGGUGGCGGAAUUCCAGGUGUAGGAGUGAAAUCCGUAGAUAUCUGGAGGAACACCAGUGGCGAAGGCGGCCACCUGGCACAUAACUGACGCUGAGGUA
rnacentral:rRNA from 1 species